rnacentral:rRNA from 1 species
GACGAACGCUGGCGGCGUGCUUAACACAUGCAAGUCGAACGGCAAGGCCCUGCUUUUGUGGGGUGCUCGAGUGGCGAACGGGCGAGUAACACGUGAGUAACCUCCCCUUGACUUUGGGAUAACUUCAGGAAACUGGGGCUAAUACCGGAUAGGAGCUCCUGCUGCAUGGAGGGGGUUGGAAAGUUUCGGCGGUUGGGGAUGGACUCGCGGCUUAUCAGCUUGUGGGUGGGGUAGUGGCUUACCACGGCUUUGACGGGUAGCCGGCCUGAGAGGGUGACCGGCCACCUUGGGACUGAGAUACGGCCCAGACUCCUACGGGAGGCAGCAGUGGGGAAUAUUGCACAAUGGGCGGAAGCCUGAUGCAGCAACGCUGCGUGCGGGAUGACGGCUUUCGGGUUGUAAACCGCUUUCGCCUGUGACGAAGCGUGAGUGACGGUAAUGGGUAAAGAAGCACCGGCUAACUACGUG